rnacentral:rRNA from 1 species
GAUUGAACGCUGGCGGUAUGCUUAACACAUGCAAGUCGAACGGAAACGAUACUAGCUUGCUAGUAGGCGUCGAGUGGCGGACGGGUGAGUAACGCGUAGGAAUCUGCCUGAUAGUGGGGGAUAGCCCGAAGAAAUUCGGAUUAAUACCGCAUAAUCUAUUCGUAGUAAAGUGGGGGACUUUCGAGCCUCACGCUAUCAGAUGAGCCUGCGUAAGAUUAGCUUGUUGGUAGGGUAAAAGCCUACCAAGGCGACGAUCUUUAGCUGGUCUGAGAGGAUGAUCAGCCACAUCGGGACUGAGACACGGCCCGAACUCCUACGGGAGGCAGCAGUGGGGAAUAUUGGACAAUGGGGGCAACCCUGAUCCAGCAAUACCGCGUGUGUGAAGAAGGCCUGAGGGUUGUAAGGCACUUUCAAUUGUGAAGAAAAGUUAACGGUUAAUAACCGUUAGCCUUGACGUUAACUUUAGAAGAAGCACCGGCUAACUCCGUGCCAGCAGCCGCGGUAAUACGGAGGGUGCAAGCGUUAAUCGGAAUUACUGGGCGUAAAGCGUGCGUAGGCGGUUUAUUAAGUCAGAUGUGAAAGCCCCGGGCUUAACCUGGGAACUGCAUUUGAAACUGGUCAACUAGAGUAUGGUAGAGGAAAGUGGAAUUUCUGGUGUAGCGGUGAAAUGCGUAGAUAUCAGAAGGAACAUCAAUGGCGAAGGCAGCUUUCUGGACCAAUACUGACGCUGAGGUACGAAAGCGUGGGUAGCAAACAGGAUUAGAUACCCUGGUAGUCCACGCCGUAAACGAUGAUAACUAGCCGUUGGGGGGAUUUACCCUUUAGUGGCGAAGCUAACGCGUUAAGUUAUCCGCCUGGGGAGUACGGCCGCAAGGUUAAAACUCAAAGGAAUUGACGGGGACCCGCACAAGCGGUGGAGCAUGUGGUUUAAUUCGAUGCAACGCGAAGAACCUUACCUGGUCUUGACAUCCUGCGAACUUUCUAGAAAUAGAUUGGUGCCUUCGGGAACGCAGUGACAGGUGCUGCAUGGCUGUCGUCAGCUCGUGUCGUGAGAUGUUGGGUUAAGUCCCGUAACGAGCGCAACCCCUAUCCUUAUUUGCCAGCACAUCAUGGUGGGAACUAUAAGGAGACUGCCGGUGAUAAACCGGAGGAAGGCGGGGACGACGUCAAGUCAUCAUGGCCCUUACGACCAGGGCUACACACGUGCUACAAUGGGAAGGACAAAGAGCCGCGAAGCCGCGAGGUGUAGCUAAUCUCAUAAACCUUUUCGUAGUCCGGAUUGGAGUCUGCAACUCGACUCCAUGAAGUCGGAAUCGCUAGUAAUCGUAGAUCAGAAUGCUACGGUGAAUACGUUCCCGGGUCUUGUACUCACCGCCCGUCA